ensembl:lncRNA
AUUGUGACACGGCCCCUCCCCCUUAGACAAGCCCACACCUCUCAGCGCCAGAAAGCUCCACCCCUCUCCCAGCUCCACUCCCUCUCCCACCCAGACCCCCUCCAUAGGCCACUGUGCCCCUUAGUGCCAGAAAGCCCUACCCCAUAGAUAGCUCUGCUCCUCAGCACUAGGCAGUUCCAGCCCCCCCAACUCCAGUCCCCUCCACCCCACACACCCCCUAGCACUGGACCACCCCAGUCUCUUCACUCCCACUGCCCUGGGCAGCUCCAGCUCCUCCCACGCUCCAGACCCCCGCACCCUAACUUACAUUGCACCAGGCCCCUUCCACUUCCUAGGCCUGCCCAGUACCUGCUUUUGCCCUCUCGGGACCCCUAGCCUCUUAGCCUCAGCUUCACCCCCCCUCCACCAUUUCCUUGCUGUAAGGUGCUAGGCACCUUAUGGCCCUGGGUAUUACCUUCUGCCCACUUCAGUUGCCCACCUACAACCCCAGCUCCUUGCCCUUCUGCACUUCUAGGCAGCUACCAGAGACUUCCUGGGAGGAAGCGGAGGCCAGGCCUGCCACAUGGCUGGUGCUACCAAGUCCUCGUGCAGUCAGGAAGAGGAGGGACGUAAGAAGCAGCAAAGCCAUCAAGGGAAAGGAGCAGGAGUUCCACAGCAGGAUGGUUCCUGGAUGAAUAUUGCUUACACCCACUCACAAGUGUCCAGAGCCUCUGCUGAGCGGGAGAACCAUCUUCAGGCACCAAGGAAAAAGGUGGAAAGCAGGAGAGUGGACCAGAAGAACCCUCCGUUUGAGGACUUUAAGGGAAUUCCGAUAGAUCAAGACCCCAAAGAUGCUAAAUCUCAUCAACGUUCCGUGAAGAAUCAGAGAGCCUUUGUUUACCAGCCCAGCUCAACAGAACAUGCUCAAGGAGAUCCACCGCCAUUGGCCAAGCUGACCGUAGCACCAGCUGAAAAAAGAGAGCAGUGCGACAGCUCAGAGGCUCCGUCUGAGAUCAAAAGUCCGAGGCGGAUGCAGCCCCUUGCCAAGAGCACACAAACUGAAGAAUGCUCUCCAAAGCAGACCCAGCCGCCCUGCUUCCCAGAUGGCAGAGGGAACAGGAGCAGCUCUGGGCUUGAGAAGAGGAACUGUCCCCCUCCACUGGGAGGAGCAGGAAGGAAGUGGGCUGAGGGCUCUGAAGUGGAGCGUGAAGAGGAACUGAAAGAGCAAACGGGCCUUUCCUCUUCGACCUGAAUCCAGCUUUCACCCACUGCUUAUCCACUCCAGCUGUGUUCAUCCUGAUCCUGGAACGUCUGUGGGGUCUGGCUGAGGUUAGCAUAAGGUAUGUGACACGGAGCACCACCUUGUGGCUGAACAGUAUAACACACUUUAGCAUCCUACUACAUCUGCCCCUCUACAUUCUGCAUUCCUACCACAUACGAUAUUUUCACUGUGGGCUUGUCUACAUCAGAAAGUUGCAGCGCUGGUGAGCGAGUUACAGCGCUGCAACUUUGAAGGUGUACACAUCUGCAGGGCAUCACCAGCGCUGCAACUCCCUGUUUGCAGCGCUGGCCGUACUCCCGUUUUGUCUUGNCUCUGAAUCCUGCUGGUUUUCUAAUUUCACGACCUGAAUGCGUAACAACUUGAUCAUCCAGCCGUCUGCUAGUGGCAAUGACUGGCUGGGGUCGGUUCGGAAUCCUGGAAUCUUCAUCAUCUGUAGCGUUUGGCCUGUUGAUUGUUCUGAGUAACAAGCUGCAGAUGCCAACGGUGUCUGUUUAACUCUUCACUGGCCGUCUCAGUCACGUUAUCUGGGCACGAAAUUCUUUUUAUUUUAUGGCAGCUCCAGUUGUCCAUCGCUUUUCUCCCGCCAGCUUGACACAAACACGGUCACCGGGUUUGAGGCCCAGCGGUUCUCGGAGUGACAUCUGGUGUAAGAGCGUUUGUAAGCUCCCGUGGGACUGCUCUCUUCACGGCCGGAGAUAGGUUCUUUGCCACAGCUGGAACAGUAGUUCUGGUUUGUCUUCCCGUCGGUGUGACCUGCACAAAAUUCUCUGUUAC